rnacentral:misc_RNA from 1 species
UGCUUGAUAAGAAUUGAAACUGAUCCGGCUGAUAGAACACAGUUGAGAAUGACAGUUGCCUCAGGGGACCCUGCGCUAACUUUUGAGCUGAAGGAGUUCAUCAAGGAACAAUUGGUUAGCAUUCCUACAGCUCCACGUGGACCUACAACAGCACCGCCUGCACCUCCGGUAGUGCAACCAACUAGUCCUGCGAUGGCUUUGACAGAUCCCGGAGCCAUGUUGGCUGGUCUGUUGUAAUAAUAUGGAGGUUAUUGAUGUGUGAAGAUUUGUUCAAUAUACACUUGUAAACGUGAUUUAUACAGCUGGCCCACCCAUCUGUCCCUCGAGUCGAGAGGUGAAUCGGUAAAUUCAUGUUGCGAGGGCUGGCGGAAUGAAGGGUGAGCUAAAUUGUGGUCGGCAUAAUUUGUGGGAUUGCGAAGGGGUUGGCCAGGAUUUUGAGAGAUUCUUUUGCACAAUUGUAAUGUGCUUAG